UAAGGAAUAUUGGUCAAUGGACGCAAGUCUGAACCAGCCAUGCCGCGUGAAGGAUGAAGGUCCUCUGGAUUGUAAACUUCUUUUAUAUGGGACGAAAAUGGGUCUUUCUAGAUCAACUGACGGUACCAUUUGAAUAAGCACCGGCUAACUCCGUGCCAGCAGCCGCGGUAAUACGGAGGGUGCAAGCGUUAUCCGGAUUCACUGGGUUUAAAGGGUGCGUAGGCGGACUGUUAAGUCAGUGGUGAAAUCUCAGAGCUUAACUCUGAAACUGCCAUUGAUACUAUCAGUCUUGAAUGUUCUGGAGGUGAGCGGAAUAUGUCAUGUAGCGGUGAAAUGCUUAGAUAUGACAUAGAACACCAAUUGCGUAGGCAGCUCACUACGGAAAUAUUGACGCUGAGGCACGAAAGCGUGAGGAUCAAACAGG
rnacentral:rRNA from 1 species